rnacentral:rRNA from 1 species
GACGAACGCUGGCGGCGUGCUUAACACAUGCAAGUCGAACGGAAAGGCCCUGCUUUUGUGGGGUGCUCGAGUGGCGAACGGGUGAGUAACACGUGAGUAACCUGCCCUUGACUUUGGGAUAACUUCAGGAAACUGGGGCUAAUACCGGAUAGGAGCUCCUGCUGCAUGGUGGGGGUUGGAAAGUUUCGGCGGUUGGGGAUGGACUCGCGGCUUAUCAGCUUGUUGGUGGGGUAGUGGCUUACCAAUGCUUUGACGGGUAGCCGGCCUGAGGGGUUGUCCGGCCACAUUGGGACUGAGAUACGAGCCAGAGUCCUAUGGGAGGCAGCAGUCGGGAAUAGUGGCUCAUGGGCGGAAUCCUGAUGCAGUAACGAAGUGUGCGCGGUGUCGGUCUUCGGGUGGUAAUCCGCUUUCGCCUUUCACGAACCGUGAGUGACGGUAAUGGGUAAAGAAGCACGGGCUAACUACGUG